AAGACUUAUUUAUCAAGGGGAGUCUCCAUGUGGACCCCACACUAUGGCACUGAAACCUGAGAGUUCUCCAUACACUCCUCCUCCCCUAAAAGCACUAAGUCUCUCUUGGUCAGGGCUGUCCACACUCUGCCAGAGCCUCAGACAGUUUCAGGAGAGAGUACCUAUCUGAAACUCUCCCAGUAGGCACUGCAGCUAUGGACGUGUUGCUCACUGUGUAUGUGCAGCCUGAGUUUCUCAGACUUUAUAUAUCCUUUUAAGUCUCCCCUGAUCAGGGUUGGGGGUUUCCCUGUCUAAGACCAGAGCCCCACUCUGAGAGGGGCGAGAGCCACUAAGGUGCAUUUUCUGUCUGUUCUCUCCUCUGUUGCAGGCACCAUGCACUGGGCAUUUUCCCCUCAACUUAUAAAAUCUUUUCCAAAUGGUACAAAACAUCCUCUGUACUCCUUGGCCUCAAAAAUUCAUAUUAGCAGAGAUUCAGUUGAUUGUUCUGGUCACUUGUUGGGAGAUCAGUUGAAAAUCCAUGCUGGGGGCACAAAUAAGUGGGCUCAGCUUCCAUCUACUUGGCCAUCAUCUUCUGAUCCCCUAGUUUCCCCUUUAAUCAUUGAGGGACAUAAGAGUUGUUUCUACUUUUUGACUUUUAUGAAUAAUGCUGCUGUGAAUAUUCAUGUACAAAUUUCUAAGUGGAUAUAUGUUUUCAUUUCUCUUUGUCAACA